rnacentral:rRNA from 1 species
CCCGUAUUAUUUUGAGUGUUAAUGUUUUACCUGAGUAGUAUAGGUGGUUUCUUGAAACUUAAAGAAUUUGGCGGAUAUCAUAUUCCGCUCAGAGGAAUCUGUCUCGUUAUCGAUAUGUCCGCGUUCGGACCUUCACUUAGAGUUAUAUUUUUGGUUUGUAUACCGCCGAUUAUUGAUUAUCUUUUUAGAGUUCCUUAAUUUUCUGGUUUCUUUAAUUUGAUUUAUUGCAGGUCAAGGUGCAGCUUUUUCUAAGUGUAAUGAUGGAUUACAGUGUUAUGUGUUGUUUGGAUUGUUUAUUUUAAUAUUGACAUGAAAUUGGAUUGGGUUGUAAUGUCUUGUAGAUAGUUUCCAUGAUAGCGGGUCUACGACAAGUACACCUCACGCAAAAAAAUC